GUGCGCGCCGGGAGUGUUCCUCACCGCCCAGCUCCCAGCCCACACUUGAACCUGCGGCGGGAGGGGGCGGAGCCAGGGCGCCGCCUCCAAGGUAGUUCACAGCCAGAAUGAGCCGCAGCCUGCAGGUCCCCAAGUCCAGAUGCUGGGCGCCGGAACCAGUUUGGCUUAAAGCUGCGAACCACGAACCGGAGGGACAUGCCCAGCCACUAAACGGAAAAGAGGACUUGGUCAAACCUGGUUAUACUUGGCGGGAGUGAUUGAUUCAGGAAGGACCACGUGACUCACACCAAACCAAUGAGAUUCCAUUUUAAGAAGAUCCCAGAAUUCUUGGGAAGCCUUUUUUCUCUUGGAUUUGAAGCUGGCAUGUGUCACUGUGAUGCUGCUGGGGAGAGCCUACUGAAAAUGAAGCCAAUACAGAAAAAAGUGGAGCCAGAAGAUGGAGAGAGACUGGGUCCCCCUUAUAUCCCAUAAGCCCUAGAACCCAGCUUGCCAGAAAAGGCUCUACCCCUGGAAUUUCGGUGCAAAUAAAUACCCUUAUUCACUUCA